AAAUAUGAAGUGAUAAAUCACAAUUAGUUUCGACCUAAUCUUAGGUGUAUACCCACCCUUAUUUU
rnacentral:tRNA from 1 species